rnacentral:rRNA from 1 species
UACGUAGGGUGCGAGCGUUGUCCGGAAUUAUUGGGCGUAAAGAGCUCGUAGGCGGUGUGUCACGUCGGCCGUGAAAACCUGCAGCUUAACUGUGGGCGUGCGGUCGAUACGGGCAUCACUGGAGUUCGGCAGGGGAGACUGGAAUUCCUGGUGUAGCGGUGAAAUGCGCAGAUAUCAGGAGGAACACCGGUGGCGAAGGCGGGUCUCUGGGCCGAUACUGACGCUGAGGAGCGAAAGCAUGGGUAGCGAACAGG